CCCGUGGCCAAUCCGUGGAGUCUUCGUCAUCACCGCCCGCGUCCCGGGGCUUCAUGGGACUGGUAGUGCCUUUGGGAAACCUCGGGCGUGCCCGGCGCGGACAGUCCGGACCGCCACAGCAGACGAUCUGUUCUGGGUGGACUUAGGAAUCCGAGUCCCGCAGCUCCCGCAUUUCUUCCACUGGGACCCCGGAGCCAGGAUGCUUUCUUAGAGUGACUGUGGCGCAGCUUGCAAAGUAUUAUCCGUCUUCUUAAAUUCCUGACCAGCACCACUGCUUAAGCACCCUCCCGCAGUCCCUCAGUCACAGCUGGAAAACAAUGAUAACCAUGCUAACUUGAACUCUAUUCAUGCCGCGGAAACCAUGGCCAAAAGUGAUGACUGUUUUAGAGGAUCUGCUACGCAGACUGCCCCCAUCUUUCUGCGGGAGGAUGGACUUAAAUUUUAGAAAUCUGGGAAGGCUGUGCUACAGUUUGUGCCCUAUAAAAUAACAAGCAUCAUCGGAGGCAGGAACUUUGGCUAUGGGAAUUUAAAGAAUAAGAUUUGGAUUUUACAGACAGUACUAUCUCCUAGGUGCAUAUAUGAUAUUUAUAGGACCAAUGUAAUUCUAUAUCAUGUACACCCAGAAGAAUGGGAAGUUAUACUCCAUAUAUGUAUAAUAUGUCAAAAUGCAUUCUAUUUUCAUGUAUGAAUAAUUACAACAUUUUUUUUUAAUUUUUGGAUUUUAGUCUUGGUUCAGUCGCUUUAACCACUCUGACAAGUCACUGGGGGUUCUUCUGUAAACCUCGGUUUUCUCAUCUAUAAAAUGGAUAUAGAACAAGCUAUUACAUAGGGUUGUAGUGAGAAUUACAUACCUAAUGUGAAAGCACUUUGAAAACCAUUAGGCACUGUAGAAGUGUUAGUGAUGUUUAUAUUCAGCAUCCUUCAGUAGGCUUUCAAAGAGUGACAAUGAAUGGAGAAAAUAGCAUUGUUAUACUCAGUUUAAUCCUUUAUUAUUUAUUGUCUUAGACUAAUUAUUUUGUAGGUGUAUUAUUCAGUACUCUUUUAUUUGCUAGUGGUAGAAACCCAAUCAGAUCAAGUUCCUAUGAAAGGAGACUUUACUGGUUCCUGUGAUGUAGAGGAGUAGCUUAGGAGACCAGGAGCCCCAUUUCCAUCAAGAACCUCCUCUUAUCCCUUUUCAGUUUUAAUGUCUUAAUAUGUCAAAUACCAACAGCUAAAACCCAUAUGUUAAAAAAAAACAUGAUUAAAAACUCUUUGGAAUCCUAGAAACUUUUUAAGAAAAUAAAGGGGUCCUGAAACCAAAAUAUGAGAGAACCACUGACCCAGACAUUUACCUUAGAUAUAAGGAAAUACCUGGAAAAUUAGAAGUUACUAAAGGAACCAGUGGACUCAACCAUCAGUGCAGUAAGAAAAAAUAAUUGGGUAAUUAAUUGAACAAAUCAACAGGCUCUGCUAAGACACAUCUUGAGUACCUUGUGAUUUCAUGUACAAUGCCACUGAUGUUAAUCCUAUUGUGACAGAAAAUUUAAUAUUGGACUAAUAUUGGCCUUUAUCUUCUAUGUGGAUAGAAGAUGAAAAUCAACCACUUACACUUAUUGAUCAUACUGUUCCCAGAGGGCAUCAGCUGCUGCUGCUGCUGCUGCUGCUGCUGGUGGUGGUAUUAACUGGAUAUCUAAUUUCUGGAGCCCACUUGAUGAGAACAAAACUCUAAUGAGGUCAAAGUCAUAGUAAUGAGGAAGGAUUGAGCUCCCUAAUGAGGAAGGAUUAUUAUGCUCUUUGGCACAAACUGAGCUUCUUUGCCCCAACUAGUCCUUAGGCAAACCUUCCAAGUAGGCUUCAGCCAAGGUCAGAGCAAGUGUGGACAGCUUAGUUCUUUCUAUUCCUUCAUCCUCUUUCCUGAAAAAAGAAAGGAAAAAAUCUUCAAAGAUUAAUGGAAUCUUAUUUUUAAAAGUGUAUAUUUAUUAAAAUAACUUUUUCAGUCCCACCAUCUGCAUUCAACUAUUGUCAUUUUCUUUCUGUAGGAAUGAGAACACAUUGAUAUGUAAAGAACUUCAGUUAGAGAAGCUAGAGUGGGAAUUUUAAAGUCCCCAAAUUUCCUUAGGGGAAUUUUGUAUAUUUAUGGGAAUUAAAAAAAUAAUUUUAUCUUAUUUUCACUUCCUCAGCUUUUCUCUAGUCCCAAAUGUAUAUAAUAUUGGGACUUUCUAGUUGGUAAGUUUGUGUACCACUGCUAAACCCUUCCAUCAUUUUGAUCUAUUGAUGCUAUUUCAAGAAAUAUCAUAUUUUUCUUUUAUGCAGUAUUCAUUUCAUAUUUUGUGCAAUAACAUAUCUGAGACCAGAUUCUUGGUGGUAGUGACUGAGUACUAUAGGCUCAAGGCAUCUUGCUCAAAGAUUUAGACAUUUGUAGAGCUGAGGGUUUCACAGGUAACCGGUUCCUAAUUGCUGUUGUUCUUCAAGUGGUAUUAGCAGACUCUUGUCUAAAACUCCAUGUUACAAUGCUCUGAGGAAAACACAUUGAUAUUUUUUGCCAGUUGCCCAAACCCAACCUAUAAAUGCUAUAUCACUAUAGAGUAUUAGGCAGACCAGACAUUUAAUUUGACUAAGAAAAUACUUAUUAAAGCAAAUGUAGAGUUACCAUUCUGCAUGACAGCUUAACUACAUAAAUCUGGUAUCCAAGUGUGGAUUUUGUUAGACCAGCAUUCUUGAUUUUAGGAAACUACUCUUAACCCACAGGUAACUGUAAAACAUGGUACUUCACUCUUCUAGCCACAGAGGUUAGCAUCUCGCUUUGGCUGGAUCAAACUGAAUUCUUUCUUGUGAUCUUUCUAAUGAGAAGGGAUGAUGGGGCUGUAAGGAGGUCUGUCUGGUAUGAAGUCUUAUGUGAGCUUUACACUGGUUUUGAUCAGAGCUUUAGUUCAUUGUUCUGUAUUCUCUUGUUCCUGCCCUCCUCUAUACCUACUUCAUCCUCAUGCUGACUUUCCUCCUGAUAGCAAGCAAGACUGCAAUGUUGUAUGAUUCCAAAGGUGAUAUUUACCUCCUACAGUAGUUAUUCAUCUUGGGAGUAAAGACACCUGAGAAUCUACAAACAUAUUCUUAAGGGUGUAUGUGUUCUCUAUGCAAGUUUUCUAAAUUAUUUUUAAGAAUUUUUAAACUUGUCUAAAUUAAAUUUCUUUAUUACACUUGA